ensembl:lncRNA
AAUCACAGCCUCUAAAAGAUUGGAUGCUGUGUUUCAGUGUUGCAGCAAUGUUCAUAAGAGUACGUGCAGAAUAGCACGACAAGAUAUCCAAAUGUUCAAGGCUGCAGUGUUAUCUUUCCAAUUGGUGCUGAAAUUGGCUGAAAUUCAGUAUGAAGCACUUUCAAAGAGUGGAGACGAGAAAGAUCUGGAGAAAAAGCGUCUUGUCUCACAGCUUGAACAAAUGCAGAAGGAGUUCAGUCAGUGGAGGGAUGGACUGCUUCGCCGACCUCUGCUCCACCAGUCCACGCUGUCUUACCCCAGUGAAAUCGAAGUAGAAGCUUAAAGGAAAAUUAAGGUAAUGUUACUGUGUUGUCAAAAGGCAGAGACGAUGUAUAAACCAACAAUGUCAUACGUUCCUUUCUGUAGCUCUGGGAUGCCUUCUUUGGACUGGAGUGUUCGAUAGAGUGCGUCACAGAGCAGUGGUUAUACGGUUUGGAGACGGACCUAAGAAAGAGGAUCUCUGAGCUCCAAAGUGAUGUGCAGAAGAUACAGGUCUGCUGUGUGGAAUCUUCAGCAAAGGCUAUAGCGAAAAGCCAUAGAGCUGUUCAGGCUUGUUUUCAAGAUCUGUGUCUGUCUGCAAUAAAAAGUAUAUGCCAGGUGGGGAAAGAAGGGGAUCUUCUGCAGACUCUGCUGUCAGACCCAAAGUUUCUUCACUCGUCUAUCUUGUCCUCAAUCGUAGUGGAAUCAGCAGCUCGUUUUGGAGAAGACACAGUGACCCAGCUACUGAAUGGCCAAUCUGCUGUCCAUAUCCUCUUGUCUCAGGGUACCGUUUAUUGUUUACCACUUAUCAGUUCAGCAAACAAACUAUACAUACAGUGGCUCCAAAAGGUAUUUGGACAUUUGUGCCAUACUUAAAAAGGUAUGAAAUUCAUUCUGUUAGGAAACAAAUUGUCAAACAGAACUGCAGUUAUUACAAAGCAAACCAUUCCGGCUGGUACAGUGUUCUUUCAAAAGGCAGAUGGAAAAUUUCAUUAAGAAAGAGGAUCAUUUCAUUAAGAUCAUUAUCGUUUGAGCAGUUUCUUUGCAGGC